GGGGGUGACUUUGGAUUUGAUGGAAGGACCUCGUAGAUAUCGAUAGCCACUGCUGAAUGGUUCUACAGCAUAAUCACGGACCAAAACCAAAAUGCUAACAAUAAAGCAUCUUCUCUCCUCGCGAGAGCUAAAGCUUAUGUUGCUACUCCAGCUUACUGCUAGGAUCUAGUACGCUUUAGAAUCAACCUUUACGUCUGACUCCUCCUAUGCGUAGAGGUGAAAUUAGGAGGAACUGAUAGUUGUUGAAACGAAUAAAGACAAGAAGUUUGUGAUUUCUCUCGUCUUUCCCUGUCUCAAUAACUCUAAAAAAUAGGUUAGAAAAAUUACUAUAGUGGUAGAAGUUGGUGUUUACGCCUUUUAGACCGGAGUUCGAUUCUCCGCACCUUCAA
rnacentral:tmRNA from 1 species